rnacentral:rRNA from 1 species
UACGUGAGGGGCGAACGUUGUUCGGUGUCACUGGGCUUAAAGGGUGCGUAGGUGGUUGCGUAAGUAAGGUGUGAAAUCCCUCGGCUUACCCGGGGAAUUGCAUCUUAUACUGCGUGGCUUGAGGACCAGAGGGGAAAGAGGAACUCCAGGUGUAGCGGUGAAAUGCGCAGAUAUCUGGGGGAAGGCCGGCGGCGAAGGCGUCUUUCUGGCUGGUUCCUGACACUGAGGCACGAAAG